UACGUAGGGCGCAAGCGUUGUCCGGAAUCAUUGGGCGUAAAGAGCUCGUAGGCGGCCUGUCGCGUCUGCUGUGAAAUCCCGGGGCUCAACCCCGGGCGUGCAGUGGAUACGGGCUGGCUAGAGGCAGGCAGGGGAGAACGGAAUUCCCGGUGUAGCGGUGAAAUGCGCAGAUAUCGGGAGGAACACCGGUGGCGAAGGCGGUUCUCUGGGCCGAUACUGACGCUGAGGAGCGAAAGCGUGGGGAGCGAACAGG
rnacentral:rRNA from 1 species